AUUUUGUGCUGUGGUCUGUGCAGGUUUUCAACUUUUUAAUUUAUGUUUGACCAUUAAUUUGCAGACAAGGUGAGGAUUUCAUCUUAGAAUACUCUUCCCCCCAAUUUUCCAUAUCGCAUUAUUUUCUUCUUCCCCAGAUUUCACUCUCUCUCUCUCUCUCUCUCUCUCUCUCUAACCCAAAACCCUCUCCGGCUCUAUCUGACCCCAAUCCCUCCGAUUCUCUCCAACUCGAAACCCUUUAUGAUUCUUUCUCAUAUAGAAAUCCUCUUGGUUCCCAAACCCUCUCACGACUGCAAUCUCAAGGUAACCCUAACUCUCUCUAUCGCUCUUUUAUUUUCCCGAUUUUAUCAAAACAUUCUUUCAGUUUAGCUUUGCGGAACCUCACGGCUGCACUCUCAGGUUGGUUUUACUAAAUUUAAUGGAACCUCAUUGGAAGAGAAGCCAUGUGAUUCGUUGAAGUUGUAGAAAAAGCUGGGUGGAGGAUGGUGGGAGAGAGAGAUUUGUCUUUAAUCUCAGCCACCCACUUCACCCAUUUUCUCCAAUUAAAGUUCCUUUGGUACAUGGAAGCUAUCCAAUUGGGAUGGUAUUGGAGUGGGAGAGCCUCUGAAGUUUCUCUUCACAAGACUAGCUAGAGGAGCAACAACAGUUUCCUAAAAGCUCAUGUCAAGACAUAAGUUGGUGGUUCAAUUGAUGAAUGUCAAGGAUCUUAGCAUAGCUCACGUCAAGAGUAAUCUUCAACUUUGAUUAAAUGUAUAGGAGCCAGAAGAUGGAAGACUCCGAUCAAGCUGUUGUAGCAUGGGAAUCAGGGACGCCAAUGGUGAUUGAAGGUUUAUAAAGAGCCAUCCAUGUAUGAUAAAUUUUUAAUGACACUAGGGUCUAGUAAAUAUGUAAUAAUUUUAAAUGUAUUCAUACAUUUAAGUAUAUGGUUGUAUUUUAAAUUAUUGUAUAUAGUUGUAUCGUUCUAGUGGAUGUACAAUUUCUAAUU